rnacentral:rRNA from 1 species
UACAUGGGGUGCAAACGUUGCUCGGAAUUAUUGGGCGUAAAGCGCGCGUAGGCGGUUACUCAAGUCGGAUGUGAAAGCCCUCGGCUUAACUGAGGAAGUGCACCCGAAACUGAGUAGCUAGAGUACUAAAGAGGGUCGCGGAAUUCCCGGUGUAGAGGUGAAAUUCGUAGAUAUCGGGAGGAACACCGGGUGCGAAGGCGGCGACCUGGGUAGAUACUGACGCUGAGGCGCGAAAGCGUGGGGAGCAAACA